UCUUGUUGUAUAUCGGUAAGCGGAGGAAAAGAAACCAACAGGGAUUGCCCCAGUAACGGCGAGUGAAGCGGCAAGAGCUCAAAUUUGAAAUCUGGCCUCCCCCGGGGGUCCGAGUUGUAAUUUGCAGAGGAUGCUUCGGGCGCGGCCCCCGUCUAAGUUCCUUGGAACAGGACGUCAGAGAGGGUGAGAAUCCCGUCUUGGGCGGGCGGCCCGCGCCCGUGUGAAGCUCCUUCGACGAGUCGAGUUGUUUGGGAAUGCAGCUCUAAGCGGGUGGUAAAUUUCAUCUAAAGCUAAAUACCGGCCGGAGACCGAUAGCGCACAAGUAGAGUGAUCGAAAGGUUAAAAGCACCUUGAAAAGGGAGUUAAACAGCACGUGAAAUUGUUGAAAGGGAAGCGCUUGCGGCCAGACUCGGGGGGCGGGGUUCAGCGGGCGCUCGUCGCCCGUGCACUGCCCGCUCCCCGGGCCAGCAUCAGCUUCGACGGCCGGUCAAAGGCCCCCGGAAUGUGUCGUCUCUAGGGACGUCUUAUAGCCGGGGGUGCAAUGCGGCCCGUCGAGACUGAGGAACGCGCUCCGGCUCGGAGCGAACUUUAAGGGGUU
rnacentral:rRNA from 1 species